rnacentral:rRNA from 1 species
GACGAACGCUGGCGGCGUGCCUAAUACAUGCAAGUCGAGCGGACAGAAGGGAGCUUGCUCCCGGAUGUUAGCGGCGGACGGGUGAGUAACACGUGGGUAACCUGCCUGUAAGACUGGGAUAACUCCGGGAAACCGGAGCUAAUACCGGAUAGUUCCUUGAACCGCAUGGUUCAAGGAUGAAAGACGGUUUCGGCUGUCACUUACAGAUGGACCCGCGGCGCAUUAGCUAGUUGGUGAGGUAACGGCUCACCAAGGCGACGAUGCGUAGCCGACCUGAGAGGGUGAUCGGCCACACUGGGACUGAGACACGGCCCAGACUCCUACGGGAGGCAGCAGUAGGGAAUCUUCCGCAAUGGACGAAAGUCUGACGGAGCAACGCCGCGUGAGUGAUGAAGGUUUUCGGAUCGUAAAGCUCUGUUGUUAGGGAAGAACAAGUGCAAGAGUAACUGCUUGCACCUUGACGGUACCUAACCAGAAAGCCACGGCUAACUACGUGCCAGCCGCCGCCGUAACAC